rnacentral:rRNA from 1 species
UACGUAGGGAGCAAGCGUUGUCCGGAAUCAUUGGGCGUAAAGCGCGCGUAGGUGGCCUCGUAGGUCCGCUGUGAAAGUCAAAGGCUCAACCUUUGAAAGCCGGUGGAUACUGCAGGGCUAGAGUACGGAAGAGGCGAGUGGAAUUCCUGGUGUAGCGGUGGAAUGCGCAGAUAUCAGGAGGAACACCAAUAGCGAAGGCAGCUCGCUGGGACGUUACUGACACUG